rnacentral:tRNA from 2 species
GGGGCCGUGGGGUAGCUUGGUCCAUCCUCUCGGCCUGGGGCGCCGGAGACCCGGGUUCAAAUCCCGGCGGCCCCACCA